ensembl:ncRNA C10H11.14 ncRNA
GCGGGUGAGGAAGUGUGCAAACCUGAGGCGUCAAGUGGAGAGAGCGACAAGGUGUUCGCACACACGAUCGACUUGUCGCCACGGACGAUCUCUACGGGGAGCGCACACUGUCUACUGUAGUGAGUGACCGAGUAACAAACAACAACA